UACGUAGGUGGCAAGCGUUGUCCGGAUUUACUGGGCGUAAAGAGCGCGCAGGCGGUCGAAUAAGUCGAAUGUGAAAGCCCCCGGCUCAACUGGGGAGGGUCAUUCGAUACUGUUCGACUUGAAGGCAGGAGAGGGAAGCAGAAUUCCCGGUGUAGUGGUGAAAUGCGUAGAUAUCGGGAGGAAUACCAGUGGCGAAGGCGGCAUCCUGGACCGGUAUUGACGCUGAGGCGCGAAAGCCAGGGGAGCAAACGGG
rnacentral:rRNA from 1 species